CCUUGAUGGCGACCGGCGCACGGGUGAGUAACGCGUAUGCAACCUGCCCGAUACCGGGGUAUAGCCCAUGGAAACGUGGAUUAACACCCCAUAGUACUUUUAUCCUGCCUGGGAUGGGAGUUAAGUGUUCAAGGUAUCGGAUGGGCAUGCGUCCUAUUAGUUAGUUGGCGGGGUAACAGCCCACCAAGACGACGAUAGGUAGGGGUUCUGAGAGGAAGGUCCCCCACAUUGGAACUGAGACACGGUCCAA
rnacentral:rRNA from 1 species